UUGCUCCACCGUGGAAAGAGGAGUGGCGAACGGGUGAGUAACACGUGGGUAACCUGCCCAUCAGAAGGGGAUAACACUUGGAAACAGGUGCUAAUACCGUAUAACAAUCGAAGCCGCAUGGUUUAAAUUUGAAAGGCGCUUUCGGGUGUCGCUGAUGGAUGGACCCGCGGUGCAUUAGCUAGUUGGUGAGGUAACGGCUCACCAAGGCCACGAUGCAUAGCCGACCUGAGAGGGUGAUCGGCCACAUUGGGACUGAGACACGGCCCAAACUCCUACGGGAGGCAGCAGUAGGGAAUCUUCGGCAAUGGACGAAAGUCUGACCGAGCAACGCCGCGUGAGUGAAGAAGGUUUUCGGAUCGUAAAACUCUGUUGUUAGAGAAGAACAAGGAUGAUAGUAACUGUUCAUCCCUUGACGGUAUCUAACCAGAAAGCCACGGCUAACUACGUGCCAGCAGCCGCGGUAAUACGUAGGUGGCAAGCGUUGUCCGGAUUUAUUGGGCGUAAAGCGAGCGCAGGCGGUUUCUUAAGUCUGAUGUGAAAGCCCCCGGCUCAACCGGGGAGGGUCAUUGGAAACUGGGAGACUUGAGUGCAGAAGAGGAGAGUGGAAUUCCAUGUGUAGCGGUGAAAUGCGUAGAUAUAUGGAGGAACACCAGUGGCGAAGGCGGCUCUCUGGUCUGUAACUGACGCUGAGGCUCGAAAGCGUGGGGAGCAAACAGGAUUAGAUACCUGGUAGUCCACGCCGUAAACGAUGAGUGCUAAGUGUUGGAGGGUUUCCGCCCUUCAGUGCUGCAGCUAACGCAUUAAGCACUCCGCCUGGGGAGUACGACCGCAAGGUUGAAACUCAAAGGAAUGGACGGGGGCCCGCACAAGCGGUGGAGCAUGUGGUUUAAUUGGAAGCAACGCGAAGACCCUUACCAGGUCUUGACAUCCUUUGACCACUCUAGAGAUAGAGCUUCCCCUUCGGGGGCAAAGUGACAGGUGGUGCAUGGUGGUCGUCAGUUCGUUUCGUGAGAUGUUGGGUUAAUUCCCGCAACGAGCGCAACCCUUAUUGUUAGUUGCCAUCAUUUAGUUGGGCAUUCUAGCAAGACUGCCGGGGACAAACCGGAGGAAGGUG
rnacentral:rRNA from 1 species